GAUGAACGCUGGCGGCGUGCUUAACACAUGCAAGUCGAACGGAGUUUACAUGAAACCUAGUGAUUGUAAACUUAGUGGCGGACGGGCGAGUAACGCGUGGGUAACCUGCCUUAUCCAGGGGGAUAACAGUGAGAAAUUACUGCUAAUACCGCAUAAGCGCACAGAAUCGCAUGAUACAGUGUGAAAAGAUUUAUCGGGAUAAGAUGGACCCGCGUCUGAUUAGCUAGUUGGUGAGGUAACGGCCCACCAAGGCGACGAUCAGUAGCCGGCCUGAGAGGGUGAAAGGCCACAUUGGGACUGAGACACGGCCCAAACUCCUACGGGAGGCAGCAGUGGGGAAUAUUGCACAAUGGGGGAAACCCUGAUGCAGCGACGCCGCGUGAGUGAUGAAGUAUUUCGGUAUGUAAAGCUCUAUCAGCAGGGAAGAAAAUGACGGUACCUGACUAAGAAGCCCCGGCUAACUACGUGCCAGCAGCCGCAGUAAAAC
rnacentral:rRNA from 1 species